UUUCCUCUCAAUGAAAUGUCUCACUAUGAAAUGUUCCCAACAUCUAACUAUAAAUAUUUCCAGGAAGAAUGUUCAGUUGCCACAUCAACUGGACUAAACUUAACCUUGAAUGGGAGUAGAUGUGAAGAGGAGUUACCAACAUUAUGUGAAUAUAUAGCUUGCUACUCUACAGAUGGGUUUCAAUGUAUAUUCCCGUUUAUAUACAAAGGAGAAGAGUAUAAACAGUGUAUAUAUGGAGAUGUAUUCAAACCAUGGUGCCCAAUAGAAAUAGACAAAAAUUCACAAAUUAAACGCUGGGGCCUUUGUCUGAACCAUUGUCCAACAGAAGAAGAAAAACCGAUGUGUUUAACACCUCCCCCAAUACCAGAAUUUGGGUUAUAUAGUGACAACACCACUUCAAACUUUGAGUCAAACUGGUUUCACAUUAACUUUUCAACAGAUGAUAAGUCAUCCUACAUUAUUUCUGGUGAAAAACAAAGAUUACAUUGGCCAGACUGGAUAUAUGAUUCAGAUAAUAUAACAGAUAAAAUAAUGUUUACUGUUGCAAAUAAUUUUGAAGAUUUUAGCAUGAUUUAUUCAGCUUUUGCAAAUAAUACACAUGCACAAUAUACCUGUCCUAAAGGAUUUGUAUUUGAGACUACAUAUAAUCGAUCAAUAACAGUGCUGUGUUCAAAUUGGAAAUGGCAUAAUGAAGAGUUUGAUGCAUCCCAACAAUGUAUAGCUCUCCGCUGUAAUGAGGAUGAAUUACCAGAAAAGACUGCUGACAUGAAUAUAGCUUCUGAUGAUCACUUUAGAAGAAAAUCAAAUGAUUCAAAGAAUUGGAACACUUAUAAUAAUAUUGUGAAGUAUAGCUGCCCUGAGGGACAUGUGGUGAAAUGGCCAAAUAUAGAUGCAAGUGCUAAUGCCAUUGAUUUUGAAGUAAUAUGUCAUGAAGAUGCUAAAUGGCAUCCAGUAACAGAUGAAAAACCAAUUUCACAACUCCCUUCAUGUAUACCACGUAACUGCACAUCUCCCCCGACUACUGUUGACAUGACUGAUUUUGGAAUGAUGAGCUGGAUUGAGACUCUCGGAAAUGCUAGACCAUAUGGCACAAUAGUAAGAUAUUGGUGUCCACAAAUUAAUUGGGGAUACCCAUCUUCAGGAUUGGACCAAAUGUGGUCCAUGUGUGGAAAGGAUGGACAUUGGAAUGUGACAGAAGUUGAGAACUGCGUAGAAUUGCCAUGUCCAAAUCAACCUCCUCCCCCACACUUAGGGGCUGAAAGAGUUUAUGGAUUAAAUGCUACAAGAUAUACAUGUCCUGAUGGGAAAAUGUUCGAAACUGGAGAUUACCCUUUUUGGUACAAUAAGUGUUUACCAAACAAACAAUGGAGUCAUCCUCAAAAACUUCCAAACUGCAUGCCACAACAAUGUUUGGAAACUCCACCGGCUCCAAACCCAACAAAUGAAAUAAAAUGGCCAAACAAGCAAAACAAGCUGGGUGAUACAGUUACCUACAGUUGUGUACAUGGACGUUACAUUGUAGCAACUGACAACAAUGGAUGGGAAAACAUAGUUGCAGAACAAACUGUUCAAUGUAUGGAGGUAAAUGGCUUGAUGGUCUGGAUGCCUCAAAACAUCAGUGAAUGUUCUGGUAUAAGUGACCAUUAUGUCAAUGCAAUUGUGAUGACAUAUUUUGGACUCAAAACAUACUGCAAUUCCUGGGGAUAAGACCAUGCAGAUGCACAGAAACUAAUUAUUAAUAUGAUUUUGCAUGUAUUAAUUAGUACCCGUGUAAACCCAAGAGGUCGAAUUCAUAGACUACUGCGACUUUCCUGACUUACUGGUCGACAAAAUCAAGAUGAAGCAUGGAAUCUCGCUGUAAGAAGAUUUCCUCUCCUCUACCCCCCCCCCCCUGCACUCUGUUAACAUAUGCAUAUGUUUGUGCAUGUCUAGUUUUGUGUGUUUGUGAAAUAUACAAGCUGUUGACUUAAAA
rnacentral:misc_RNA from 1 species